rnacentral:rRNA from 1 species
GGGGAAUUUUGGACAAUGGGCGCAAGCCUGAUCCAGCAAUGCCGCGUGCAGGAAGAAGGCCUUCGGGUUGUAAACUGCUUUUGUCAGGGAAGAAAUCUUCUGGGUUAAUACCUCGGGAGGAUGACGGUACCUGAAGAAUAAGCACCGGCUAACUACGUGCCAGCAGCCGCGGUAAUACGUAGGGUGCGAGCGUUAAUCGGAAUUACUGGGCGUAAAGCGUGCGCAGGCGGCUUUGCAAGACAGAUGUGAAAUCCAACGGCUUAACCGUUGAACUGCAUUUGAAACUGCAAGGCUAGAGUAUGGGAGAGGUAGGUGGAAUUCUCGGUGUAGGGGUAAAAUCCGUAGAGAUCGAGAGGAAUACUCAUUGCGAAGGCGACCUGCUGGAACAUUACUGACGCUGAGCUGCGAAAGCGUGGGGAGCAAACA